AUAAGUUAUUUAAGAUUUUUCUCUCAUGCUUACAUUUUAGGGGAGGAAAGUUUGCAAGAAAGCGAACUUGUCAAUAUAUUCGUCCGUAAAAUGAGCCCAAGUAAUUUGGAAAUAAGAAUUAAUGUAAGAACAUUGUAACAACCUGACCUGAGAAAAAUAACAUCCAACCAAUUUGCUUCUUAGAAGCAUAAAAAGCCAAAAUGAUGUCGUUUUGAAAAAUCUCAAAAACAACGUCGUU
rnacentral:lncRNA from 1 species